UUUUAUGCCACAAGAAAUAAGAGUUAUUAGUACAUGUUUUAUUUUUAAGUCUACUUUCAGUAUGCAAGGAGAGAUGUGUCUCAUAAGGUUGAUCAGCCAAUUUUAACAUAUAGAGACCAUCAACUAAUAUUCCAGAACCAAUUCGAUUAGAGUUUAAGAAUAUAUUAUAACAACCAUCUCCUUGAGUAGAUUUAAAACCAGCCAAA
rnacentral:lncRNA from 1 species